rnacentral:rRNA from 1 species
UGGGGAAUUUUGGACAAUGGGCGAAAGCCUGAUCCAGCAAUGCCGCGUGUGUGAAGAAGGCCUUCGGGUUGUAAAGCACUUUUGUCCGGAAAGAAAUCCUUGGCUCUAAUACAGUCGGGGGAUGACGGUACCGGAAGAAUAAGCACCGGCUAACUACGUGCCAGCAGCCGCGGUAAUACGUAGGGUGCAAGCGUUAAUCGGAAUUACUGGGCGUAAAGCGUGCGCAGGCGGUUUGCUAAGACCGAUGUGAAAUCCCCGGGCUCAACCUGGGAACCGCAUUGGUGACUGGCAGGCUAGAGUAUGGCAGAGGGGGGUAGAAUUCCACGUNUAGCAGUGAAAUGCGUAGAGAUGUGGAGGAAUACCGAUGGCGAAGGCAGCCCCCUGGGCCAAUACUGACGCUCAUGCACGAAAGCGUGGGGAGCAAACAGGAUUAGAUACCCUGGUAGUCCACGCCCUAAACGAUGUCAAACUAGUUGUUGGGGAUUCAUUUCCUUAGUAACGUAGCUAACCGCGUGAAGUUGACCGCCUGGGGAGUACGGUCGCAAGAUUAAAACUCAAAUGAAUUGACGGGGUCAUAGCUGUUUCC